AACGUACCCUUUGGUUCGGAAUAACGCUGGGAAACUAGCGCUAAUACCGGAUACGCCCUUUUGGGGAAAGGCUUGCUGCCGAAGGAUCGGCCCGCGUCUGAUUAGCUAGUUGGUGGGGUAAUGGCCUACCAAGGCGACGAUCAGUAGCUGGUCUGAGAGGAUAAUCAGCCANACUGGGACUGAGACACGGCCCAGACUCCUACGGGAGGCAGCAGUGGGGAAUAUUGGACAAUGGGCGCAAGCCUGAUCCAGCCAUGCCGCGUGAGUGAUGAAGGCCUUAGGGUUGUAAAGCUCUUUUGUCCGGGACGAUAAUGACGGUACCGGAAGAAUAAGCCCCGGCUAACUUCGUGCCAGCAGCCGCGGUAAUACGAAGGGGGCUAGCGUUGCUCGGAAUCACUGGGCGUAAAGGGCGCGUAGGCGGCCAUUCAAGUC
rnacentral:rRNA from 1 species